AAAUUUUAAAUAUCAAUGGGCUACAAUUUUAAAGGAAAUUCUUUUAGUUGGGCUGUUUCUUACCUCUUUUGCCAGCCCCAACGUUACAUUACAAUAACAUUAGCAGCCCACACUUGCCACUAUUAUUUUUUACCUAGCCCAAUUUCCUAUACGCAUACCCUACCCGACUCUUUUCCUCUUCCAAAUCCCAACUCCUGCACCAGAAAAUUCCAGCGCCAACGUUCGACAGUUCAAGAGGCAUGUACAAAUCUCAAGCAGCGGCGAAUUGACAGAGAUACAUGGAGUUUCCUUUCCAACUCAUGGCAGGUCACGCCUUGUGCGCACACUACAUAGACAGCUUUUCCUUUGUCGUAUAUCUCCAACGUCCCUUCCGAUCGGUAUGAAUUUGAAAAUGGCAGAAAGGCUCACGCGAAACCGUCCUUGAUAGUUUAAGAUCAAGCCACAAAGCUCCCCAAGGACGGGAGAUCGAUCUGAGGCUUUCAUUCUCCCCUUUCUUUUUGGAAAAGGCGGAAGGUUCAGAAAACAGACUGUUCAGCCAAAAUUGGUGAUUCUUUUUUUUUUUUUGAAUUUUGAAUGAAGGAACUCGAAAUGGGUCUGUUUUGGACCCAUAUCCACCCCACCUUUCAAGAAUUUGAAACCCUAAUUUUACACUAUAUAUAGUCUCUUCAUUCUCUGAGAUAAGAGAUUUUUUUUGAGCCAUAAGACACAUAAACCUAAAAAAGGGACGGAGUGGCAGUGAAUUAAGAAAAUAUAGAGAAAGAAUUUAAAGAAAAAGAACAUUCUUAGAGUCAACUAGUGUCAGGGAGAAGCAAAAUAUACAAAAGAGGUUGAGGAUCUCGUUCCUUGCCUAGCUUCGGUGUUGUUUAUUUUGGUUCGUUACCAACCUUUUCAAAGUCGCGUUCCUAGUGGUGUUAAGGUUUCAGCCAUCCCUACUCGUCUUGUUUCAGUUUCGCUGCCCCGGAAAAGGUAACAUCUCCUCCCUUGCAAUAUUUUCUCGUACUCUAUAUUUUGAUUUAUUUUUUUUUAGUUUCUGGAAGCCUGUUUUGCUGAUGCGCCAUGUCUGAUCUCUUUAACGAUCUGGUUGCCUACUUUGACCUCUCUUUACUACCUUUGAUGGAUCAUUAAGAUGUUUAGCAUCGCGUUUGCUGAAAUCUGAUGUCAUUGUUUUCAAGUUUAAAUGUGAGUUUUUUUUAGGUGACAAAUUUGUAUCGCGUGACUGGUUUAGUGUCAAAUCUGAUAUAUGUAUGUUCAGCUUGUUAAUUAUGGGAUGAGGUCGGUCUAAAAAUUUUAGUUUAGGCCCUUAUAGAAAGUCUUGGACUCCCUAUCAGUUGGAGUCUAAGGAUAGUUUUCUGCCAGUAAGUUGGUGUUGUUAUUUGUGUCCAUUUCGUUUGAUGUUUUUCUUUGAUUCCGAUUUUUUUUUCUUUUUUACUGUUAGAACUUGCUGUGAAGUAGUGAUUUAGUCAUGAAGUUUGAAAGUCCUCUUCUAUGGAUUAUUUCAAUAUUCCACGAUCUUCACAUUUUUCGCACGAAUAAAUUUAGUUGGCUCAAGUUGUCGGAAUAUUCAGACGUCGUUUUGUUCUGUGUGUAUUUAGUUGGCUCAAGUUAUCGGAAUAUUCAGACGUCGUUUUGUUCUGUGUGUUGUUUCCUCUCUACUUUUCAUUUCUCUUUUAGCUUAGUUGUCAGGUCAUUCCUCUCGUUUGGUUUGUCCUCAGUGCGUUAAGAUCUUGUUGGGUCUAUGUGAGAUGUUAUUCUCUUUAUUCUUCCACCACUAGUUGGGGCUAAACAUCGAUUCUCGAGUUUAUUUGAUGGCCUUAUAUCUGAAUGUCUUAUAGCUGAGCUUGUAGUCUACUGUCUUGCAUCAACUCUUAGAACAUUUAUUUGGUUCUUGAUACCCUUCUUUUCCUUUCAUGUCUUGUACAGUUUGGUCUGGAUGCCUUUUUUUUUUAUCCCGUAACUUGCUAGGAGUGAAUUUUGAAAAGUCUGCUGAUUAACUCGUUCAUCUGUUUUAGGGGAAAAAAAAAGAUUAAUAUAUGUUUUCGUCUUGUUAGUUAAUUUAUCUUUCGCAUGUGUGGUAGGAUAGGCUGCUUGAACUUUACGUGAAAAUUGGCUUGUUUAAUCUUUUGUCGUUUGCCCCGUGGUCUUCUAUGGCAUUUCUUGUUUAAUGCGAAUGAAAUUUGGGUAGUUUAUUAGAUUUUAUACCCUCUGUCUGCUGAAAAGUUGAAUUAGGCGAGCAUAAUUUACAUUCCGUUCGUUAAUAUACUCAUUUUGAACGAGGGGAAUGUCAAUAAUUAAGUUGCUUUUAUUUUUCUACCUUGAUUACUGUGGUGUUGCUUUACUAAUUUUAUUUUAUUUUCUCAUGUCAACUUAUCCGAGUCCAUUAUGGACUCUCACCUCCUCUUUGCAAUUCGAGGGAGUCAUAAUUUCUCCAUCAAGUGUCCCACUUUUAAAUCGACAUAGAGGACAGGUACAAAACAAGAGGGUCAAAAAUCCAAGACAGGUGGGUUCAAAAACCGAUCCAGGCAAACAGAUAACCAGGAUUUGGACCAAAUCCUCUUUCCCUCUCUCUUAUUUCUAGUUUAUUUAUUUGUCGUUUGAUUCUCACUAGUCUUAUGGUUAAAGAAUUCAAAUCCCUGCAAAACACCGUAAA